GGCCGCGGUAUUCUAACCGUGCAAAGGUAGCGUAAUCAUUUGUCUUCUAAAUAAAGACCAGUAUGAACGGCUAAAUGAGGACAAACCUGUCUCUUACAACUAAUCAGUGAAACUGAUCUCCCAGUCCAAAAGCUGGGAUAAAAACAUAAGACGAGAAGACCCUGUGGAGCUUCAAACCCCCCAUUAACAAGCACAGCCCUCAAGCUGCCAUUAAUAAAAGGUUUUGAGUUGGGGCGACUUCGGAACAAAACAAAACUUCCGAGCACAGAGCCAUAGGCUCUAACUGCGGCCAACAAGCCAAAGUUAAAGACACCAGACCCAGUAAAACUGAGCAACGAACCAAGUUACCCCAGGGAUAACAGCGCCAUCUUCUUCAAGAGUCCUUAUCGACAAGAAGGUUUACGACCUCGAUGUUGGAUCAGGACACCCAAAUGGUGCAGCCGCUAUUAAAGGUUCGUUUGUUCAACGAUUAACAGUCCU
rnacentral:rRNA from 1 species